AGGAGCCGUGUGCGGAGAAAUCCGCAAGCACGGUUCUGAAGACGAGUCGCUCCGGUGACGGGGCGGCUUCGUUUAACAAGCUUACGCUGUAAUCUUUGAUUCAGCAUAGGAGGAUGUCACCGUCCGAGUUUAU
rnacentral:ncRNA from 1 species